rfam:Ciona savignyi cont_48421, whole genome shotgun sequence.
ACUGGGUUGGCCGAGUGGUUAAGGCGUUGGACUUAAGUUCCAAUGGACAAGGGUCCGCGUGGGUUCGAACCCCACACCCAGUA